CGCCCACGCAGCAGGCAAUCACCCAUCUGCGCACCCGAGCCUGACGAGAGGGAGCGGCAUAAAGAGACAGCAAAGCCAGGAAACCUUCGCCAAAACGUAGCCAAUCUUACCUGAGUCAAUAUGUGUCCAAAGAAAGCAAUGGACAAGCGAUGCGUGGUUUGAAACAUUCAGGAAGUAUCCACAGCCCUGUCGAAACUGCCCCCCUUCCUCCCGAUUAACCGACAAGCCUUAUUCCAGAAUGGAAUAAAUCAAAUGUGGCCAUGGACCGAGAGACUUGGUCGACUUUGACAUCCCCUAAGAUAGUUGUGGCAACUUUUUCUUAACCCUAUGUGAGCAUCCGUCUGUCGGCAUCCCAAGAGUGAAAAUUGUACGUUUCAUAAAUUCACCAAAAGUCACCGUGGAGUUGCUAGCGUGCUUCCGCAGCCAGCGGGUCCAUGACGAUGACUUCUCCUUUGUUUGAUCAGACGUUUUACUGCCAUGUUACGGACACCGUUUGGAAACAAUUAAGACUGCAAUAUUGUUCAAUUAAGGACACAUGCGCAGACCCGCAUGUCAUCUGCGGCAAGCUCUGCCGGCACCUCCGCUAGAAGCGCGCCGGGACAUGUCCCUGCUCGCUCUACCCGCAUCGCGGCCACGCGCCUGCAGGCAACCUACAAUCGGCUUACCAGGGUCUGAUGGAGACAGACAGCAUAAAGACCAGCGGACCCGAAGAUCCAGUGCCGGAACGUAGUUCACUCCUCGUAGCAAGUAUCCCGUCUCUGGCUUCCCUCCUGCGUACUUGAUCUCGCUCUGUGUCUUCCCUGUUCCCGUGUCUUAUGUCCUCUGUGUUCCCUGCAGUGCUUCCCCUGUUUCCCGUGAUCGAGCUGUGUGCCUCGACUUCCCUCUGGAUUCCGGACACCUCGACCCCUGCUUAGACACGGACCUUGUGACUUCUCUCCAGCCCCCAACCUCUUGCUUGCCCACGGACUGCCUUCUCGCCUUGCCCCUUUGGUCUGACGAAGGAUUCAUCCAACACGCAUAUACAACAAACUCCGGUAACAUUUACACUGUUAAUUCCACACAUUGUCUUGCACCAUUUACUUACAGUAGCAUACA